UACGUAGGGUGCGAGCGUUAAUCGGAAUUACUGGGCGUAAAGGGUGAGUAGGCGGAUAUAUAAGUUAGAUGUGAAAUCCCCGAGCUUAACUUGGGAACUGCAUUUAAGACUGUAUGUCUAGAGUUUGUUAGAGGGGGGGUAGAAUUCCAGGUGUAGCAGUGAAAUGCGUAGAGAUUUGGAGGAAUACCGAUGGCGAAGGCAGCCCCCUGGGAUAAGACUGACGCUGAAUCACGAAAGCGUGGGUAGCAAACAGG
rnacentral:rRNA from 1 species